GACGAACGCUGGCGGCGUGCCUAAUACAUGCAAGUAGAACGCUGAAGGAGGAGCUUGCUUCUCUGGAUGAGUUGCGAACGGGUGAGUAACGCGUAGGUAACCUGCCUGGUAGCGGGGGAUAACUAUUGGAAACGAUAGCUAAUACCGCAUAAUAGUAGUUGUUGCAUGACAACUAUUUGAAAGGUGCAAUUGCAUCACUACCAGAUGGACCUGCGUUGUAUUAGCUAGUUGGUGAGGUAACGGCUCACCAAGGCGACGAUACAUAGCCGACCUGAGAGGGUGAUCGGCCACACUGGGACUGAGACACGGCCCAGACUCCUACGGGAGGCAGCAGUAGGGAAUCUUCGGCAAUGGACGGAAGUCUGACCGAGCAACGCCGCGUGAGUGAAGAAGGUUUUCGGAUCGUAAAGCUCUGUUGUAAGAGAAGAACGAGUGUGAGAGUGGAAAGUUCACACUGUGACG
rnacentral:rRNA from 1 species